GUUGACCUCGGAUCAGGUAGGAGUUACCCGCUGAACUUAAGCAUAUCAAUAAGCGGAGGAAAAGAAACCAACCGGGAUUGCCUCAGUAACGGCGAGUGAAGCGGCAAGAGCUCAAAUUUGAAAUCUGGCCCCUCGGGGUCCGAGUUGUAAUUUGCAGAGGAUGCUUCGGGUGCGGUCCCCAUCUAAGUGCCUGGAACGGGCCGUCAUAGAGGGUGAGAAUCCCGUCUGGGAUGCGGCCGCGCCCGUGUGAAGCUCCUUCGACGAGUCGAGUUGUUUGGGAAUGCAGCUACAUAAGCGGGUGGUAAAUUUC
rnacentral:rRNA from 1 species